rnacentral:tRNA from 1 species
GGAGGGUUCGCAUAGCGGUCUAGUGCAGCCGCCUUGAAAGCGGCCAGGCGGUUCAUCCCGUCUCGUGGGUUCGAACCCCACACCCUCCG